rnacentral:rRNA from 1 species
AACCUCCGCAAUGUGAGAAAUCGCGACGGGGGGAUCCCAAGUGCCAUUCUUAACGGGAUGGCUUUUCAUUAGUGUAAAGAGCUUUUGGAAUAAGAGCUGGGCAAGACCGGUGCCAGCCGCCGCGGUAACACCGGCAGCUCUAGUGGUAACAAUUUUUAUUGGGCCUAAAGCGUCCGUAGCCGGUUUAAUAAGUCUCUGGUGAAAUCCUGUAGCUUAACUGCGGGAAUUGCUGGAGAUACUAUUAGACUUGAGACCGGGAGAGGUUAGAGGUACUCCCAGGGUAGAGGUGAAAUUCUGUAAUCCUGGGAGGACCGCCUGUUGCGAAGGCGUCUAACUGGAACGGUUCUGACGGUGAGGGACGAAAGUUAGGGCGCGAACCGGAUUAGAUACCCGGGUAGUCCUAACUGUAAACGAUGCGGACUUGGUGUUGGGGUGGCUUUGAGCUGCUCCAGUGCCGAAGGGAAGCUGUUAAGUCCGCCGCCUGGGAAGUACGGUCGCAAGACUGAAACUUAAAGGAAUU